AAUGUAAAAUGUAGAGUCUAAAAUGUUUUAUCUUAAUUAUUAAUAGUUUAAUUUAAGUUAUUUUGUAAAAUUUUAAAUAUAUAUUAAAAAUAUCGACUAAAUUUGAUGGAGUUUGGGUAUGUCAUGUCCUUUUCAGAUCCUAAAUAUCCGAAGCCGAUAUCCGAUAUGGACCCAAAAAUAACUAGUAUUUUAUAGGUAUUUUAAUUAUAGAUCUGAACCAAUCCGGAUCCGAGAAGAACCAACCCAACCGAAAAUUUACAAGUACCUAUUGAGUCCAAAUGUUUAAGACCCGAAGGAUCCGGACACGAAAUGAACUGGUCCGAAUCCGACCCGAAGACCCGAACGCCCAGGUCCAAUGGUUUAAAACUUAAAUAGAUUGGGCUAGAAAAUAUCUUGAUUUCUAAGAAAAAGAAUUCCAACCAUAUACCCAAAAGAACACUGAACGUCAAUGUUGAGAAGACAUUCAAUUUUUUAAAGAUAUUUUUAGAUUAUUUUAUUAUUUAUAUUAAAUUUGAAAUAAAAAUAUUGAACCACUAGUAGAUUUACAACAUAUAACUGAAUAGCAUAAUAUUUUUGAGAGUUCAUCUAACAAGACCAGAUCUUCCUUUCUUUUUAUUAUUCCUUUUCGUGUUUUAAUAGACUGAGUGAAAAAAAAGCCCCGUUACACUCCUAAAGAUAUUAAAAUUUAAAACCUUCUCACGAAAGUCAAUUCAAAUUUGUAUUACUUUAAAUGAAAAAUUAAAACCAAAACAGAAAGAAUAUUGCAAAUUUAUUUAGAGAUUUUAAGUGAUUUUUAUGUUAUAAUAUUUUUACUAAAAAUAUCUUGUUAAAUGUAAGUUACUAUAUAAAUUAAUUUUUACAUAUAAUGUACCAUAAUAGCUUUAUUUAAUCAUUUUUAUAUGUGAUCUACACAGAAAAUAUAACAUUUCUAGAAAAUGGAAUAUCUCUCCUAUUAAAACUUAAUUCAACUUAUAAUUUUUUUAGAUUUUAUCUCUUUUUACAGAAAAGUACCUAAAAUUGGUACAUAAUAAUAUAUUUUUAAUAUGAUUUCAAUAAUAUUUUUGAAUUAUACACUCUAUAAGCUUAAGUAGAUCUUAAGUUACUUAUUAUUGUAUUUAGAAUGUUUCAAAAUUUUCUAAGUUAUGUAUAAUUCUACAUAAUAUUUUUAAAUUAAUAUUCCAUAAAUGAAUAAUAGAAUAGCUUUUUAAUGUCAAAAAGUAUUUUGCAUAAUAUUAUUUCAAUUUUGGAAAAGGAAGUGGAUGGUUAUGAUCCUUUAGGUGGAUGGCACCCCAUCAAAGAUAUUAAAGAUCCUUCUCUUUGAGAGAUAAUAUUUUCCAUUAGGUACACUAUGAAUUCGUAAUCUUACAGGACGAAAGAGGUAAACAAAUAUUUCCUCCCAUUUGCGUUAGAAAAUGGAAUCUUUCUUUUGUCUUUUUUGUUUUCUUCACCUUUUUUGUUACUCUAGAUAAAUGAGAGUAAAUUAGAGUAAAACCAUAGACAUGUUUAAGAAAAAGCUAUUCUAUUAUUCAUUUAUGUUACUCUAUAUUCAUAAUAUAAUAGUUGAGUUUCUCUCACCCUAAGUGUGUCCACCUCGACAGUACUAUGGGUCCCACAAAAAAAAGUGUUUGUGUUUUAGUCGAGUGAAGUGAUUUAUGAAUUGGGCUUAUUGAUUACUUCUUCUGUUGGUUUCAAUAUAUGUUAUUUGUAUAAACUCGUGGCCCAAUAAAAUAAAAACCAGAUAUUUAGAACCAAAGUCUCUUCUGUUUUUUUGGUCGAAAGUCUAUUCCGUUUCUUAUCGUCCUCUUCAAUGGUGAUUUUAGGGUUUCAACUUCUUUAGUCUCUUCUGGGAAAUAGAAAGUGACCCUUUUGGGUUCCAAAACACUGAGGGUAUGAAUGGUGAUCAGGGAACGGUGAGGAAUAAUGCAUUUCUUAACGUUCCUAAAAAAUAUAACCAUUCACAAGAAAUAAAUUUUGCUUUUCAUUCUCUACCAUUCCUUUUUUGUACAGAAAUAAAGAACAAAAAUAUUUCUUAUUAAAUUUGAGAAGAAACAACCAUUCAUUUUCAUUCCUGUAAUUUUAUUCCUUUAGGUUCCUUUUCUAUUCGUUUUUCUUGUUUCCAGAAUGAUCACCAGUAGAACCCUGAAUCUUUCCUCUAACUCUACAUCUUCCCAUCUUUACUAUGUCCAUCAUUAGUGAUUCUGAAUUGUAACAACAAAGUUAUUCCUCCCAAUAUAUACCUCAUGUUAAAAACUUGACCCUUCAUCUCAAAUCCACUCAACGCCGUCACUGAUUUUAACAACUCCUCCAAGAUGUCUGCCUUUGAUAUGCUCCAGCUGCUCAAACCGCCGUCCGCCACACAACGUUUUUGACUCUUUCCGCCUUGGUCUUACCACUCAGUUUAUAGUUCGCCUUCUCAGCUUCUGGGAUUCAUGGAAAUCAUUAUUCUCUUCCUAGAUGAAAAUGUAGCGACAUCUUUUUCUAUCACCACUGAUCUAUUGCAUUUGUCCUAUAAUCAAUUAUCUAACUCUUGCCUGAUAUGUCUAUUUUGACUCAAUCUGCAGAAUUCAGUGAUCCACAGAUUCAUAUCCACUGGUUGUACCAAUCACUACUGUCUUUCUUUGCGAGCAGGCUCCAUUGUAAAAGUUGAUGGGUCUGAGGUUUCACGUUUCACACUGCACAUGUACAAGAUUACUGAAAAUCCAAUCUUGAAAGUUUAUUUAUAUUAUGUUUUUGGAUCAUUAACCUAGAUUUCAACUUGCAGAUGUAGUUGGCCAAAUACGUUCUAUCGAAGGCUCAGACCUCAACAACAAUGCAGCCAAAAAAAAUUCUCACAUUACUCUUCAUUACCAGUUUAUAACUAUGUUUUCUAUAUUUCCACCACAAGAACUGUGAUCGUCUACUUAUCUUUGUGGGACGAGGCUGCCUCAACUUUUAGAGGUCUUUUGAAUUCAGGGGAAAAAUCCCAGUCUGUAGUGGUAGUCAAUACGGUCUAUCCAAAGAUAUUUGGAGAUUUCUGCAGGGAACCUCUAUCUCAUCUCCACACCAGCUACCAAAUUCUAUUUGACACUGACCUUCCUGUAGUUAAAGAGUUCACCACCAAUUCGGGAGGACAGAGGUUUUCCCCUGUGUUGAUACCAUGGAAGGGAUUAAGAAAAAGGAUCUAAACACAUUUAUCUCUAACUCCAACGAGUAAAAGUAUAAGCCAAGCUUUAAUAAUAUAUUGUUUGUUAUUAGUGACUUCAAAAUAGCAAAUUUAUUUUCUCUGUUUAGACAUAGAAAGCUGAUUUUCUCUGUAAAACUCGGAUUCCUUGUGUCCUCCAACAAAAUGGAUAGUCUUUUGUCUCAUACAACGGAUGCAACAGGAAGUUGGUGUCCUGCCUAUGUUACAAGACUUUUUUCUCUAAACUGGUACGAAAACCAUAUUAUCGGUAAACAAGGGUUAUGAUGGGUUACUCAGAUUCAGGGAAAGACGCUGGGCGUCUCUCAGCUGCUUGGGAGCUAUACAAAGCUCAAGAAGAGCUUGUGAAGGUCACUAAGCAAUAUGGAGUGAAGCUAACUAUGUUUCAUGGCCGUGGUGGCGUGGUCGGAAGAGGAGGUGGUCCCACCCAUCUUGCUAUAUUGUCUCAGCCACCGGAUCCAGUUAAUGGCUCACCCCGAGUGACAGUUUAAGGUGAAGUCAUUGAGCAGUCAUUGUAUAACAAACUUCUUGUCUCGAAAUAUUUAUGGGCCUUUGGAGAGAAACUCAGAAACAACUUUGAAGAAACCAAGAGUCUCAUUCUCCAGGUAUAAACAAAAGCAAAAACAAAGUACUCUGUUUCUUAUUCCUUUUACUUUGCAGUGCCAUUAAAAUCUAUUUGUUGCAGACUGCUGGACACAUAUCUUCUUGAAGGGUAUUGCUGCAGGAUUGCAAAACACCGGUUAAGUGAGUGAGUCUUUGAGAUAAAGCAGACUUUUGAGUCUCUCUUUUAUGUCUUCCCUUCUAUAGAAUAAUCUCUUUUUCAAUCGAAAAUAAUAAAAUAAUAACUACGGUUGGAUUACAAUAUACUUUAUGUAUCCACACCGUUGAGAAAAGUUUUAAUCUUGUCCUUGUAUGAAACAAAACAAUGCUCUGUUUCAGAGACAGUGAUCAAUCUUAAAAUUUUAUCAUUUUGUCCU